GAUGAAGAACGUAGCGAAAUGCGAUAAGUAAUGUGAAUUGCAGAAUUCAGUGAAUCAUCGAAUCUUUGAACGCACAUUGCGCCCGCCAGUAUUCUGGCGGGCAUGCCUGUUCGAGCGUCAUUUCAACCAUCAAGCCCCCGGCUUGUGUUGGGGACCUGCGGCUGCCGCAGGCCCUGAAAACCAGUGGCGGGCUCGCUGUCACACCGAGCGUAGUAGAUUUUCAUCUCGCUCAGGGCGUGCUGCGGGUUCCGGCCGUGAAACCCCCUACUUUUAAAGGUUGACCUCGGAUCAGGUAGGAAUACCCGCUGAACUUAAGCAUAUCAAUAAGCGGAGGA
rnacentral:misc_RNA from 1 species